UACCAAGGCAUUUGAGGACAAUACUCAAAACCAGAUGUACAGAAAUGUUUCAAAGGGAGAGAAUGUUAUUUUACACUGUGAUGGAAAUCGGACUAUUAAAUCUGAAGAUUUUGUCUGGCAUAAAGACAAGAUUCUUCUUUUUGACUACAGCCCAGUAAUAAACCAAACUGUGAUCAACUACACAUGAGACAGGAUGCAUGUUGACCCACAAAAUCCAAGAAAACUACAGAUAUCUGAUGUACAGCCUUCAGAUGCAGGAUUAUACUCAUGUUUCCCAUUCGACAAGGAGUGGAUAUUGACUAUAGCAGACAGAGAAAUACAACAAGACAAUAUAUGGCCAUUCUACAUAGUUUUCUCAGUAAGCACAGUGUGUAUCACAGUGUGUCUCUUCUGUGGCGUGUGUCUUUACAGGAAAUGGAAAGAAAGAGCAGCCUCUGAUCCAACUGAAACUAGCAAUGAGCUUGCAAAGGUAUAUAAUGAUUCUGCCCAUCACAGUGAGACAAUAACUAUCUGUGUAAGUUUCCCACCAUCAACC